rnacentral:lncRNA from 10 species
CCCAGAUUAGAUUGUACCCUGGCAAAUAAGCAAGAGUUCUUUUUCAUUUUCAUCUUGCAAUUCAACUGGGUAUUUGGGUUCUUUUUCUAUUCACUCAUGUCAGAUAGAGACAUACAUGUUGUAAAUUAUUUUGUCAGAAUGAAAGCCUGGCAGAUUAAAUGCUUUCUUCUCUUCUUGCUUUACUUGAUAUCAAUCUCUUGUUCAUUUCUUGAUAAUAUGUUUGGUUAUUUUUGUUUUCAUUGCUUUUAGUGUCAGAGAUGGCUUUGGAUUCCCCGUUCUGUGUGCUGCUGUCUGGCUCCUGAACCCAGCUGUAGAGGUGUGUCAAUCCCAACUGGUGAAGUACUGAGAGGAAGCUACACAAAAGGCAGCAAAGUAUUAGUGAGUGGUGUCAUUGAGCAAACACGAAGUCGGGCUCAUCCAAGGAUGAGAUUUUGCCAGAGAAAGGACGAGCAGCAAGUCAGGGAGCUUAAGGUAAUUAUGGGAAAGUGACUAUCUACAAUUGCUUAGGUAGAAGGAGACAGAUUGGAUUUUUGUGUGUUUGGUAUUUGGGAUAAGAGGGA